GUUACUUCAAUGGCCAAAUGAACAAUUAUAUAAAAAUUCGACUACUUAAUAUUUAAAAGUUUUAAUAAAUUCAUUUUAUGAGGCUUUUAAAUUUUUCAUAUAUUAGUUCUUAAGUAAUUGUUCAGUAACAAUUCUAUAAGAUAAAGACAAUGAAUUUAUACGCUGUUUGUAGCUUCUUUUUUGGUUGUGUAAUUUUCGAUUCUUAUGCUAAAAUUUCAAAUACAAGAAAAAUGUUACGUGAUUGCCUAAAGAAUCGAGACAUGUUAGAUAAUGUAAAAGCAUGUUAGUUUACAUUAAUAUUAUAAUAUAUGAGCUGAACUCAAAAAUUAAAAAUAAUAUUUCAGCAUGCUUAAUAUUUUUUA